rnacentral:rRNA from 1 species
GGGCGUAAGCGCGCGCAGGCGGCCUUUUAAGUUGGAUGUGAAAGCCUAUGGCUCAACCAUAGAACUGCAUCCAAAACUAUCAGGCUAGAGUGUGGGAGAGGAAGAUGGAAUUAGUUGUGUAGGGGUAAAAUCCGUAGAGAUAACUAGGAAUACCAAAAGCGAAGGCAAUCUUCUGGAACAUUACUGACGCUGAGGCGCGAAAGCGUGGGGAGCAAACAGGAUUAGAUACCCUGGUAGUCCACGCCCUAAACGAUGAAUGUUAGUCGUCGGGUAGCUAGUCUAUUCGGUGAUGCAGCUAACGCAUUAAACAUUCCGCCUGGGGAGUACGGUCGCAAGAUUAAAACUCAAAGGAAUAGACGGGGACCCGCACAAGUGGUGGAGCAUGUGGUUUAAUUCGAAGAUACGCGAAGAACCUUACCUAGCCUUGACAUAUUUUAGAACACUUUAGAGAUAGAGUGGUGCCUUCGGGAGCUAAUAUACAGGUGCUGCACGGCUGUCGUCAGCUCGUGUCGUGAGAUGUUGGGUUAAGUCCCGCAACGAGCGCAACCCUCGUCACUAGUUACUAACGGUUCGGCCGAGGACUCUAGUGAGACUGCCUUCGCAAGGAGGAGGAAGGUGAGGACGACGUCAAGUCAUCAUGGCCCUUACGGCUAGGGCAACACACGUGCUACAAUGGCCAGGACAAUGAGAAGCGAUACCGCGAGGUGGAGCAAAUCUAUAAACCUGGUCUCAGUUCGGAUUGUAGUCUGCAACUCGACUACAUGAAGCUGGAAUCACUAGUAAUCGUAGAUCAGCUAUGCUAC